UAGCUUUCAGUCGAUGUAUACGUCUCAAUUUGGUGUUGCAUCAUAUAAGCAUUUGGAGGCAUGCACAGCCUUUUAUAAAGUGCCUAGAAGAAAAUCGCUGGCUUUUAAAAAGCAAAAACAGCUAUAAAUGCUACAGCUCGUAUAUAACUCUCCAGCUCUGAUUAGUUUUUGACUGAUGAGAUACAGCUCCUGAACUUCCUCUUCCUGUGUGUGUUGUAGGUGGUGGAGGACGGAUACGAGUUCUUCGCCAAGCGGCAGCUGGUGACUCUGUUCUCAGCACCGAACUACUGCGGAGAGUUCGACAACGCCGGAGCCAUGAUGAGCGUCGACGAGACCCUCAUGUGCUCCUUCCAGAUUUUGAAGCCAGCAGAGAAGAAGAAACCAAACUCCAGUCGUCCAGUGACUCCGCCCAGGAACACGGUCCCCAAACAGGCCAAGAAAUGAUUCCCGCGGGGCCCGGCUGGACUUGUAUCAUACGCUCUUUCAUGUGUCUCGGAUCAGGAGUGGCUCUGCGCCGGCUGAACCGCCCUCUGUGUCUUUAUUUCGAUUCUUUACGUUGUUUUUCCUCGUUUACCGUCCAGAGCGGCCGCUCACGUAUUAGAGGGGAGCGUUUUAAUUUCACUUGAUUUCAGAAACAGCUUUUUAUUCCCACUUCAGGACAACGACGUAUCAGUUUGACACAAGCUCCGCCCACCAUAACCACGGCAACAGCGCAUAUAAAGGCGGAACGCGGCGUCUGGAUUUUUAAAUCGACACGUUUAAGAUGAUUUGUGCUCCCGAUCGCUCGUUCAAACCACUGUGAACAAACGAUUUGUUUGUCUGUUUUUAUGCACCUGAUGCUUUUUUGUAUUUUCGUCUCGUGAGUGUGCCAUGAGGUUUGACAUUCAGUCCGCUUUUAUCAUUUUGACUUUUUUUUUUAAUUUUGAUGAUGGCAAACAAGCGGAUGUUGUGCGAGUGUGUGAACUAAAACAUCAAGUUUCUUUGUUUUGAUGCGAUGCCUUGUUUUCUUCCAUUGCGUAUCACGUGACGUUUUGGCAUGUUGACUUGAUCUCUCAGACGGACGUUUCUGUUGCAUGCGUUAGUGUUAGAGGAAUAGGACACAAGGCCUCGGCUUUCUCUCAGGGCAUGCCACCUUCAGCAUGCCUUCACAAUAAUGUAGCUCCUCAUCAGGUAAAUCACGUCAGGAAAACCUUUUUUCUUGCAAAUUUCUACAGUAUUUCAUAUAUAAAUUCUCUGUUUAACCCAAACUCUCACUGUAAAUAUACAGGAAAUGUUUUGUUCAGUCUUGGCAAUAAUUCAGUUUUCCAAACUAUAAAUAAUUGCUAUACUUGCAGAAUAAAUC
rnacentral:lncRNA from 1 species